AGCAGCCGCGGUAAUUCCAGCUCCAAUAGCGUAUAUUAAAGUUGUUGCAGUUAAAAAGCUCGUAGUUGAAUUUCGGGAUCGAAUUGUUGGUCGUGCUUCGGUACGCACUGGCAUUAUCGGUUUCUACCUUCUGAAGAACCGCGAUGUCAUUAAUUUGGUGUCGUGGGGAAUCAGGACUGUUACUUUGAAAAAAUUAGAGUGUUUAAAGCAGGCUUACGCUUGAAUACAUUAGCAUGGAAUAAUGAAAUAGGACGUUUGAUUCUAUUUUGUUGGUUUCUAGGAUCGACGUAAUGAUUAAUAGGGAUAGUUGGGGGCAUUAGUAUUCAAUUGUCAGAGGUGAAAUUCUUGGAUUUAUUGAAGACUAACUACUGCGAAAGCAUUUGCCAAGGAUGUUUUCAUUAAUCAAGAACGAAAGUUAGGGGAUCGAAGACGAUCAGAUACCGUCGUAGUCUUAACCAUAAACUAUGCCGACUAGGGAUCGGAUGAUGUUAAUUUUAUAAUGACUC
rnacentral:rRNA from 1 species